rnacentral:lncRNA from 1 species
AAAGAUGGCUACGCGGUGUCUUUAACGAAGCGUUCCCUGUCAGCGGAGAAGAAGAGAGGAUUCAACUCGGAGGAAAUCUGUCUCCCUCUAGCAGGGUUUAGGACACAUCGUUGGUGUUGGGACGGUGUCUUUUUGACGAAGGUGCAAAACCAAUGUUUGCUACAGCCAGCUAAACAAAGUUUUCACCCACCUUCCUACACUACCGUUCAAACGUUUGGGGUCACUUAGAAAUGUUUUUUUUUUAAGAAAAGCACUUUUUUUUUUUUUUGUCCAUUAAAAUAACAUAAAAUUGAUCAGUGUAGACAUUUUUAAUGUUGUGAAUGACUAUUGUAGCUGGACACGGCUAAUUUUUAAUGGAAUAUCUACAUGGGCGUACAGAGGCCCAUUAUCAGCAACCAUCACUCCUGUGUUCCAAUGGCACGUUGUGCUAGCUAAUCCAAGUUUAUAAUUUUAAAAGGUGAAUAUAUCAUUAAAAAACCCUUUUGUAAUGAUGUUAGCACAGCUGAAAACUGUGGUGAUUUUAAAGAAGCAAUAAAACUGGCCUUCUUUAGACUAGUUGAGUAUCUGGAGCAAACAGCAUUUGUG